GACGAACGCUGGCGGCGUGCUUAACACAUGCAAGUCGAACGGAAAGGCCCUGCUUUUGUGGGGUGCUCGAGUGGCGAACGGGUGAGUAACACGUGAGUAACCUGCCCUUGACUUUGGGAUAACUUCAGGAAACUGGGGCUAAUACCGGAUAGGGGCUCCUGCUGCAUGGUGGGGGUUGGAAAGUUUCGGCGGUUGGGGAUGGACUCGCGGCUUAUCAGCUUGUUGGUGGGGUAGUGGCUUACCAAGGCUUUGACGGGUAGCCGGCCUGAGAGGGUGACCGGCCACAUUGGGACUGAGAUACGGCCCAGACUCCUACGGGAGGCAGCAGUGGGGAAUAUUGCACAAUGGGCGGAAGCCUGAUGCAGCAACGCCGCGUGCGGGAUGACGGCCUUCGGGUUGUAAACCGCCUUCGCCUGUGACGAAGCGUGAGUGACGGCAAUGGGUAAAGAAGCACCGGCUAACUACGUG
rnacentral:rRNA from 1 species